ensembl:lncRNA
GGCAAAGCUUAAGAGAAACAUUUAAGGAAACACCCACUUGGAAGGAAGAACCAAGAGUUGACUCCAUUCCAAGAAAUCACAUCAUUCAUCUGAUCCGGGCUAUAUCUCUCCCAGCAAGAUAUGUAUGAAGAACGGAAAAGAAAUGAUUAGAAACAUUAAAAUAGAAAAGAAAAAUUGGAUGAUUUUGAGAAAGGAAUCAGAAGAUUUGUACAACCCACAGGGAGGGAGUUAUUCCUUCUCCCAACUUCCUGCUGUUGGAGUGGAGGCAUGUGACCUUGGCUGGCUGAUUAAACGCUCCAGCCUGGGUUUUGAAUAUGGAAGAACGUGCUGAGGUUGUGAGCUGAAAAGCAAAUGUGAAGACUCUGUGCUUUGCCAAACUGCAGCAUCAAGUCUCAGGGACUGAAGUAGCCGUAGCUCAUGCAGACUAUCAUCAUGGAAUUGCCUUAUAACUAGAAGAGGAAUGGACAUCGCCUCAGAAGCUGAAGAGGAUGCUGGACUGUGAACAGGAUGCAGAGGCUUAUGAACCUUUAUCAUCCUCUCCUUGGGAAGAAAGUUCCAAGUUCUUCGCAGAUUUAAUGCAAGUUAGAUUCUUCAAACUCUAGAGGCAUCAACAUGAAUUGGAAAAGUAUAGACAACCUUCAUAAUGGGAUGACGUCUAUUGAAUCUCAGCACACAGUGUGGGCCCAGCAGUUGAAGACAAGCCAAGCCCCAAGGAGGAGGGCAAGCAAUCCCAGAAGCCACUGGGCAUGGGAGGGGCAAGGUUUUCUCAACAUGGCCUCACAGGGGUUACAGCUAUGAAAGCAGUUCUGGAGGCCGGAAGUCCCAGAUCAAGAUGGUGGCAGGGUUGGUUUCUCCGGUUGCUUCUCUCCUUGGCUUGAAGAUGGCUGCUUUCUUGCUGUGCCUUUAGCUCAGUUCACUGAGGAAAUGGAUUUGGAAACAGAAAAUAAGAAUACAAAUUGAAAACCUCUUUGAGGUGAUUUUCAUUAUGAUGACUCUUUCAGCAAUGAUGGAACAGAGGCCUAGAGAAGCUUUGAUGGACAUUGGAUUGUUCCCAGUGUUUGGAUGUUACUAAUCUAGAUGUUAUGAAGUCUAUGUACAAAUGUUUCUGUGGUCAUUUUCAUUCUACUGGAGUGAAACUCCUGGGUCAUAUGGAGAUGUGGAAACAUCAGUGAACAACAAAGGCACAGAUUCCUGCCCUUACGGAGUGUAAAUUUCAGUGGCAGGUGGCAGGCAAUGAACAAAAUAAAUAAGUAAAACAUCUGAUAUACGACAUGGCAACAAGUGUGAUGGAGAAAAGUAAAGUAGAUCUGGAAACUAAAGCAAAGAAUUGAAAUUGAGUAACAUUGACUGGUAUCAAAGAGUAAAAAAUCAAAUGGCACGGAAACAAUGGUUAAUCUGUAACAAUGAACAUCCUGUGGAACCCAGAUUGUGAUCUCUAUUAUUUGUCUCGACAAGAAACCAGAGCACCGUGGAGAAUGGUGAUUCCAUGUCUGGGACAUGAAAUGGGCGAGGUUUUACUUAAAUUACUCAUACCUCUUGGCAGCCAGGAACAGAGCAAUAGCUAACCAUGAGCAUCGUAAGGAAAUGGGGCUUCUUAACCAGAUGCUGUAUAAGGUAUUGAGUGAAGUGCCAUUAAGGAUACAAAAGAUUAAUACGACAUGGUUUUUGCCUUCCAUGAAAAUAUCAUCUUAUGUAAAGG